rnacentral:rRNA from 1 species
GACGGAAGGUGCAAGCGUUGCUCGGAAUCACUGGGCGUAAAGGGUGCGUAGGCGGCUUGGUAAGUUGGGUGUGAAAGCCCCGGGCUCAGCCCGGGAAGGGCACUCGAAAUUGCCGAGCUGGAGUGCCGGAGGGGAGAGUGGAAUUCCUGGUGUAGCGGUGAAAUGCGUAGAUAUCAGGAGGAAUACCGGUGGCGAAAGCGACUCUCUGGACGGCAACUGACGCUGAGGCACGAAAGCGUGGGGAGCAAACAGG